rnacentral:tRNA from 1 species
GAGGAUAUAGCUCAGUGGUAGAGUGUGUGCUUAGCAUGCACAAGGUCCUGGGUUCAAUCCCCAGUACCCCCA